GCCCGUCACACCAUGGGAGUCGGUAACACCCGAAGUCGGUAGUCUAACCGAAAGGAGGACGCCGCCGAAGGUGGGAUUGAUNACUGGGGUGAAGUCGUAACAAGGUAAC
rnacentral:rRNA from 1 species